AGUAUACAGUUUCUCUGUUUUCCUGAGCAUUCACAAUUCAUUUAAUGUCCUUCACGUUAUUGGUUUAUGGAUGGAUUGUUUACAUGUAUUCUGUUUUACAAGAGACCAAAGGAAGAGGCAAUCAUUGUAUCAGCUUUGACAAAUGGAAAAUCAUCAAUUCCCAAAAACUAUUUAUGACACAAAAAUAAAGUUGUUAUUCUGGAAGGUCUCAGUAUUAUCAGUGCUCAUAACGAAUGAACUACUACCCUAAACCCUGUUAUGAGAUGUGUCAUAUGUUCCCUUGCCUCUUCUGAUUUCAUGGAGCAACUAUAUUGCAAGACAAAAUAUAUAUGUUUGGUGGAAACCACAAUGGCCGCCAUCUAAGUGACCUUCAGGCCUCGUAACAUUAGCAGGCCAGUGAAAUAUUUUUCAAGCCAUGGACCAGGUCAUGGUGGUUGUGGCUAGGAAGAAGGCGGCUAAGGCGAUGCAGGAGGAGAGGAAUCUGCACAAGUUCCUCUGGUCUCUAAUCCGUUUUACAUGAUUCAUGUAAAUUUUUUUGGGAGUUCCUCGAUGUGAAUCGACCACCAACCAAUUGGGAGCAAGCCCCGGUGCCUCGCCG